rnacentral:tRNA from 1 species
GCGGGUGUAGCUCAGUGGUAGAGCACUAGCUUCCCAAGCUAGGUGUCGAGGGUUCGAUCCCCUUCACCCGCUCCA